UUUGACCUCAAAUCAGGCAGGACUACCCGCUGAACUUAAGCAUAUCAAUAAGCGGAGGAAAAGAAACUAACAAGGAUUCCCCUAGUAACUGCGAGUGAAGCGGGAAAAGCUCAAAUUUAAAAUCUGGCAGUCUUUGGCUGUCCGAGUUGUAGUCUGGAGAAGUGUUUUCCGUGCUGGACCGUGUACAAGUCUCCUUGGAAUAGGGCGUCAUAGAGGGUGAGAAUCCCGUCUUUGACACGGACUGCCAGUGCUUUGUGAUGCGCUCUCAAAGAGUCGAGUUGUUUGGGAAUGCAGCUCAAAAUGGGUGGUAAAUUCCAUCUAAAGCUAAAUAUUGGCGAGAGACCGAUAGCGAACAAGUACCGUGAGGGAAAGAUGAAAAGCACUUUGGAAAGAGAGUUAAACAGUACGUGAAAUUGCUGAAAGGGAAACGCUUGAAGUCAGUCGCGUUGUUCAGAACUCAGCCUUGCUUCCGCUUGGUGCAUUUUCUGUUCGACGGGCCAGCAUCAAUUUUGAUCAUUGGAAAAAGGUCUUGGGAAUGUGGCAUCUUCGGAUGUGUUAUAGCCCUGGGCUGCAUACAAUGGUUGGGAUUGAGGAUCUCAGCACGCCUUUAUGGUCGGGGUUCGCCCACGUUCGUGCUUAUGAUGCUGGCGUAAUGGCUUUAAACGACCCGUCUUGAAACACGGACCAAGGAGUCUAACAUGCCUGCGAGUGUUUGGGUGGAAAACCCGAGCGCGUAAUGAAAGUGAAAGUUGGGAUCUCUGUCGUGGAGAGCACCGACGCCCGGACCAGACCUUUUGUGACGGCUCCGCGGUAGAGCAUGUAUGUUGGGACCCGAAAGAUGGUGAACUAUGCCUGAAUAGGGUGAAGCCAGAGGAAACUCUGGUGGAGGCUCGUAGCGAUUCUGACGUGCAAAUCGAUCGUCAAAUUUGGGUAUAGGGGCGAAAGACUAAUCGAACCAUCUAGUAGCUGG
rnacentral:rRNA from 1 species